GUCAAGAUUCUCGAGCGGUCUAAGGCGCUGCGUUCAGGUCGCAGUUCGCUUGUGUGGGUUCGAAUCCCACUUCUGACA